AGUCUUGUCACUCGUAAAGAACUUGCUGCUUAAUAAGAAAACAGUUUUAGUUUUAUUGUUCCUUUUCAAAGUGGUUCUUUUGCAGCAAAACAUUUGAAGCAAAGGCUUUGUAUGUUCCCCUGCUGUCAGACUUGGUCCAUGAUGUUUUAAUAAGAGCCAUUACAACAUUUGUAUCCAACCAUAACCCUUACCUACUUCCAGAUAAGGAAUAAACUCCAUUACUUGCACAAUGCUGAAUUUUUGUUCAGUCACACAGUUGAGUCCAAAGCUGAAUUAUCCUGUGCCAAAAAGGUUCCCCCUAGGACUGGCUUGAAGUGAUGCUACUUCCAGGGAUGUUUGGAGAAAGUUAGUUCCUUCCCAUAUUGUCCUUUGAUAAGUUUCUGUUGAUUGAUGCAGUUGCCACUGUUUAUUCCAGUCAUACUGAAACAGCAGAAUUGUGCAAACAAAUGCUAU